rnacentral:rRNA from 1 species
AUUGAGCGCUGGCGGCAUGCCUUACACAUGCAAGUCGAACGGCAGCAUGGAGAGCUUGCUCUCUGAUGGCGAGUGGCGAACGGGUGAGUAAUGCAUCGGAACGUACCGUGUAAUGGGGGAUAACGUAGCGAAAGUUACGCUAAUACCGCAUACGACCUGAGGGCGAAAGCAGGGGAUCGCAAGACCUCGCGUUAUACGAGCGGCCGAUGUCAGAUUAGCUAGUUGGUGAGGUAAAGGCUCACCAAGGCGACGAUCUGUAGCGGGUCUGAGAGGAUGGGCCGCCACACUGGGACUGAGACACGGCCCAGACUCCUACGGGAGGCAGCAGUGGGGAAUUUUGGACAAUGGGGGCAACCCUGAUCCAGCCAUGCCGCGUGAGUGAAGAAGGCCUUCGGGUUGUAAAGCUCUUUCGGCCGGGAAGAAAUCGCACAGGCUAAUACUCUGUGUGGAUGACGGUACCGGCAUAAGAAGCACCGGCUAACUACGUGCCAGCCGCCGCAGUAA